GGAGGGUUCGCAUAGCGGCCGAGUGCAGCGGUCUUGAAAACCGCAAAGUCCAUAGCGGGCUUCGUGGGUUCGAAUCCCACACCCUCCG
rnacentral:tRNA from 1 species